rnacentral:rRNA from 1 species
UACAGAGGUGGCAAGCGUUGUUCGGAAUUACUGGGCGUAAAGGGCGCGUAGGCGGUCUUGCAAGUCCUGUGUGAAAUCCCUCGGCUCAACUGAGGAACUGCACAGGAAACUGCUUGGCUUGAGUUCGGGAGAGGGAAGCGGAAUUCCGGGUGUAGCGGUGAAAUGCGUAGAUAUCCGGAGGAACACCGGUGGCGAAGGCGGCUUCCUGGACCGACACUGACGCUGAGGAGCGAAAGCCAGGGGAGCAAACGGG